rnacentral:rRNA from 1 species
UACGAAGGGGGCGAGCGUUGUUCGGAAUUACUGGGCGUAAAGGGCGCGUAGGCGGCGACUCAAGUUAGAUGUGAAAGUCCUGGGCUUAACCUGGGGACUGCAUUUGAUACUGGGUUGCUUGAAUUCGGGAGAGGAUAGCGGAAUUCCCAGUGUAGAGGUGAAAUUCGUAGAUAUUCGCAAGAACACCAGUGGCGAAGGCGGCUCACUGGCCCGGUACUGACGCUGAGAUGCGAAAGCGUGGGGAGCAAACAGG